rnacentral:lncRNA from 1 species
CCCAGACCUGUUUAUGUUUUACUUAGAGACAUCAUCUCACUGAAUUGCUUAGCACCUUGCUGUUGCUGAGGCUAGCUUGAACUCACCAUCCUCCUAUCUCAACCUCCUAAACUGCUGGGAUUACAGGCAUGCACCACUGUGCCAAGCUUGACCCAUAUUUUAGAGAAGCAAAAAUUUUACAGUGAUUCAGAAGUCUUUGAUUCAGGAAUAACCAAAAAUUACCAGGUAGAAAGAUUUUCAGUUUUAAUUAACUUUUAUUUCAUGUCAUUUGCGAUGUUAAGGAUUGAACUCAGGGCCUUACACAUCCUAGUCAAGGACUCUACCACUGAGGCACAUCCUCAGCCCCAGUUUUAUUUUAGGUAGUUUUCAGAAUUAAUGUAAGAAAUGUAGCAAUCAAAUGAAACAAACAUAUAAAUAGUAUAAUUAACAAGUCAACUAAACAAUUACUGACAUCAUAGAAGUCUUCUUUCCAAACUUAUGAUUUCAAAUAAGUGCCCUUAAUGUAACAGAUGUUUUAAUUAUAUGACAAAAAAGUAGACUAUAGAAAUUUUAAGUGUUAGGAAUCAGUCAGGCGGUUGGGUUGUGGCUCAGUGGUAGAGUGUUUGCGUAGCAUGUGUGAGGCACUGGGUUUAAUUCUUAGCACUGUAUGUUAAUAAAUAUAAAAAUAAAAGUCCAUCAACAACUAAUAAAAAUAUAUAUUUUAAAUUAGUUAGAUGUGAGAUAAAACAUCUUUGAAGUGAAGAUAUGACUGUAGCUUUAAGAUAAAAUAUCUGUUGUAAUAUUGUGCGAUACAUCCGAAAAUUGUUACUUUUCCAGUGUUUUUUUUUCCAGUCUGUUACCUUAGAUUGUAUGUUGUUUUUUCUUUGUUUCAUUGUUUUACCUUUUUGUCUCCUGUUAUUUAUUUCUGUUAGUGAAACUGCCUGCAAUGUUUAGCAGUAUUUUUUCCAGCAAAAUAUAUAAUUCAAAUUGAAAUAUUUUACUUUGAUGCCUUUAUAUUUGUAAGAAUUGUUACUAAUGACAACACUAUAUCAGAAAAAAUGCAUAAACUAAUACUUAAGAUUAUAG